AGAGUUUGAUCAUGGCUCAGAGCGAACGCUGGCGGCAUGCCUAACACAUGCAAGUCGCACGGCUGGGGGUGACCCUUGCAGUGGCGGACGGGUGAGUAACGCGUAGGUAUCUAUCCUUGGGUGGGGGAUAACCGUGGGAAACUACGGCUAAUACCGCAUGACGACCGAGGUCCAAAGGCGCGAGUCGCCUGGGGAGGAGCCUGCGUCCGAUUAGCUUGUUGGCGGGGUAAUGGCCCACCAAGGCUUCGAUCGGUAGCUGGUCUGAGAGGAUGAUCAGCCACACUGGGACUGAGACACGGCCCAGACUCCUACGGGAGGCAGCAGUGGGGAAUAUUGGACAAUGGGCGCAAGCCUGAUCCAGCAAUGCCGCGUGGGUGAAGAAGGUCUUCGGAUUGUAAAGCCCUUUCGGCGGGGACGAUGAUGACGGUACCCGCAGAAGAAGCCCCGGCUAACUUCGUGCCAGCCGCCGCGGUAAUUC
rnacentral:rRNA from 1 species